rnacentral:rRNA from 1 species
UACAGAGGUCUCGAGCGUUGUUCGGAUUCAUUGGGCGUAAAGGGUGCGUAGGCGGCGGGGUAAGUCUGAUGUGAAAUUCCAGGGCUCAACCUUGGGACUGCAUUGGAUACUGCCUUGCUAGAGAACUGGAGAGGAGACUGGAAUUUACGGUGUAGCAGUGAAAUGCGUAGAGAUCGUAAGGAAGACCAGUGGCGAAGGCGAGUCUCUGGACAGAUUCUGACGCUGAGGCGCGAAGGCCAGGGGAGCAAACGGG